rnacentral:lncRNA from 1 species
UUAAAACGUUUAGCUGAUUUCACAUAGUUAUCUCCCUGUAAGGUUAGGUACAACCUUAAGAUUGGGAUCGAACGACCCUGGCACCUGUGUGUUCGAACUCACAACCUCCGUGUCAACAUCAGGUUAGUAAUGAUGUAGGUGAACUACCAAUUCCUUUUAUUAGAUACUAAUAGUAUGCAAAAACGUAUAACAAAAAUUUACCAGACAGCACCUGAUGUCACAAACAAACAGCAACAUACAUUUAAUUAAAGGAAUAGCAAUAGAAAUUCAACAAAAGUUCAAAUAUG